CACUUUAAAAUUUAAGAACCAUGUCCCUUUACUUCAAAUCUAACCCACAAUCGGAAAUUAAGGUUUUUCAUAGAGAGUGUACCAUAACAUGAACGGGAUUUUGAAAAUAAUCUCGAGGUGGCGGAAUAAUCCACAUAAAACAUUAUCGGGGUUUAAAAAACAUUCGUGAGACAGCGGAAGGAAAUAAACUUUAUUAAAGAUACCCCCGUUUAAUAGACUGGGUUCCCCAAUCAGAGUACAAAAUGAAAUCAUACUAUGUUGAUUAGUUUUUCGAUAAAGCGUUGACGUGGUAAAUACGAGUAAAAUAAUCUGGCACCAAAGCUCGUGAUUCCUCGAACUCCACUCCGCCGGCCUCCUAAAUAGCUUGGAGAACCUGAAAAGAUAAUUUGCAUAAAAGCAUGAGCCCAACCACUGGCUCAGUAAGGACGUUAGUCUUAGUCUGACGAACUCACGCCUCUCUCAUCGCAUCUCUCACGACCUAUGGGAGUCCUAAAGUAUUCGUCUAUGUUCUUUUCCGUCUAUGUUAUUUUACGUCAUAAUUAUAUUAUGCUAUAUUAUUUCGUAUGCAAGUAUGCACUUGUUGGGAUCCCUAACGUAAGCAUCGGCAAUAGACGUUUAUAUGCUGAGCCCGGUCAUUCGGUGGGAGCUAACCACCCUGUUGUUCUAUAGUAACUGUUGUUGGGAUACCGGCCCCCCGUAUCCCGUGUCUAUUCAACCGUAGCAACGUUACAACUUUGACUUUUCUUUAGUAGACCAUGCAAUACCAAUUAAUGACUCGAUGAAUGCACGAAAGUCCAAGAUCUUAAUAGCAACACGAUAAUAAUUCCAAUUAUAUCAUUCACGUAAUUCGAAGGAAUUAAAUCACAUAAUUCGGAAGUAAUUUCCGAGACUAUAGUAAGCACAUAGAGAUCAAACAUUAGUAAUAAAAACACAUAUACUUUUACACGUAUAUACACAUAGGUACUUAUACGUAUAUAUAUACUUAUACAUAUACGUAUAUACUCUAAUUUAUAACUAUGGGCUAUAAGUUUCCUCAACCCGAAGGGAGUACGCCUAUAACAUCAUAGGUCUAAACUAUCGAUAUACAUAUACAUAUACUUUUAUAUAUACAUACUUAUACCUCAUAAGAGUAAAACACAUUAUUCAAAUAAUCAUCAUGAAUUUCAAUAUUUCACAUAAUACCUAUUCAAAGGACUAUAGAAAAUCAAAUCUAGUAGAGGUACUAGGACAUAGAAAGUUUCAAGAACAACUUAUAGUCUUUGUAUCUUACUUAUAAGUACUCUAAUAAUGGUUCUCUAGAUGUAACAUCAUAAUCUAUAUUCAUUACCAUAUUAAAUCAUGUCUCAAGAGUUUAAAUCAUGCUUACAAAGGACCCUUUAAUUCAAAGAAAUUCGUUUUUAGGAAAAUCGGAUAGUUUUGACACCUUAACUUCAAAAACACAUUUCUCUUAGACCAUAACUUCAAAAAUUAUGAAACUUUAACAAAAUACUCCUAUAUCAGUAGUAAAGACUCCAUUAAAACAGUUUUCCAAAAUAACCAGUAGCCUAAGAGAAAUAAGUAAAACAGUAGAAUAGUAUGGUCACACUUUCAGAAACAGAACCAGCCACUUUAAAAAUACCCAAUAAAUCACCCUUUUGUUAAAACAAUGUAAGACUUUGCAGAAAACUGGUUUUAUAAGUUAUAAAUAUAUUCCAAGUGGAAUCAAGGAAAUCAAACCAGGAAAACAUCGAUUUUAAAAGCAAUUUCUCAGCUGACUCAAAAACUGUGCAGGUUUAGUAAAUAAUUCAUAUCUUGAUCAUCUGAAAUCCGAUUGAUGAUUAAAAUAUAUCAAUUUAAAGACGACAGAAAGAUCUAGUUACCCAUGAAAUUUCGUGAUUUUAUGAAAACAGGGCAUCUGUGAAACAUGCAGUAAACUCCGAGGCUGAGAACCUGAAAAAUUCAUUAGUGAUCUAUAUCUACAUCUUUGAUCAAAACAGAUCUGGCAGUUUAGGCACUAUAACUUCAGAAAUUCAUAUCUCCUUAACCGUAGAUCCAAACCUGAUGAAAUUUGGAAUAAAUGUUCAUAUCUAAGUCUAGUUUAUAGGGUUAAAACAGUUUAUGAAGAAACUUAUCUAUGUAAGAGAUAUAAUCAAUUUAGUGCAGUAACAUAAGCAGAAAUUCGGAACAGAUCCAGUAACUUUAAAAAUACCAAUUAAUUCAUACCUUUACUUAAACACUACCAAAUUUUGUGAACAGUCAGUUUCAUAAGUUUAUAAUCAUAUUCAAUUGGAAUCAACUCAAUAAGAUUAGUAUAAAACUCUAUUUAGCACAUAACUCGUGGAUGACUCCGAAACUGUGCAGAUUCAGAAAAAGGUUCAUAACUCACUCAAUAUAAAUCCGAUUUAUGCCUAAUUUAUAUCAACAUGAAGCUAACCGAAAGAUCUAGAAUACCACAAAAUUUCAUAAUUUUAUCUUAAUAAUUACCCGAUGAGACAUGCAACACAAACAGAGGCUAUGAAACUGAAAUUCAAUUAGUGUUCAUUAAGAACUUUAUCUUCUAAAGCCCAAAUUAAAACCUCAAACAUAAAAUUCAUUAAAACACAUAUAAUUUAUUUUAAUUAGCUUAUUAUUUCAGUAAAUACCAAGGUCCUUACCCAAGAGUAAGAAAUCGAAGAUGAAGGUGUAAGAAAACCAAAGCUCGGUGACUUUUCGGCGGGUUUGGCUUGGAUGUUCUUGGAUGGAUUUGGGGCUGAGGUUUGAAGGAUGUGAAGGGGUUGUUUCUUGAAGAUUUUUAGCAGAAAUGAAGAAGAGGGAGCUUCUCUUUUCGAGAGGGAUUGAAGAGAGAAGAGGAAGGGGCUUGAUGGGAGCUUCUUGAAGUGCAAGAAGAGAAUUCUUCUUGGGGCUGUUUUUGCUCGAUGGAGAGGGAGAGGAGAGGAGAGGAGAGGAGAGGGAGAGGAGAGGGCCUUUUGG
rnacentral:lncRNA from 1 species